rnacentral:lncRNA from 1 species
UCCUGUCUUGUUUCACCUCCUUUACCCUUAGGGUAAUUCCUUUUUCUUUUCUUUUUUUUAGCCUUGCCUGUCAUGAAAAGUCUCUAUAAUAUUUGAAUGGUUUUCUUUUUUAUUUUUCUUUGAAUAUCCACAUGUCAUGUCCCUUGUGUCCCAAUACAUAUCACACUAAUUGUAAUAAUAUUAUAAGGCUUAACCAUAC